UCCGAUAAUUUAUUUCCAAUAAGCCGCACUGCCGUGCGCCCGAGCUGCUGCUUGAUACAUAUAACAUAAUACAGUUUCUAUUAUUAUUAUUAUUAUUCUUUCUUCAGUGUUCCUUUAUUUUCCAUUCGCUGGAUAAACGGGUAUCCAUCACAAUUACUGAACGCUUAGCACUCAGCGUCCGUCCCCGCAAAAGUGUAACAUUUUUUUAAUCUAUAUCACUUUGGGUGACGAAAUCAAUUUUAAUGUCAGAACUACAGUCGGCGCUAUUAUUAAAGAAACAACUGACUGAAUUGCACAAGAACCCAGUAGAAGGGUUCUCUGCUGGUCUCAUAGACGAUAAUGAUAUUUACAAAUGGGAAGUGCUCAUUAUUGGACCUCCAGACACCUUGUAUGAAGGAGGAUUUUUCAAGGCUCAUGUUAAUUUUCCAAAAGAGUAUCCAUUAAGGCCACCAAAAAUGAAGUUUGUUACUGAAAUUUGGCACCCUAAUAUUGAUAAAGGUGGUGAUGUUUGUAUAUCAAUACUUCAUGAACCUGGUGAUGAUAAGUGGGGUUAUGAAAAAGCAAGCGAACGUUGGUUACCAGUGCAUACUGUUGAGACUAUAUUGAUAUCAGUUAUUUCAAUGUUGGCUGAUCCAAAUGAUGAAAGUCCAGCUAAUGUAGAUGCAGCUAAAGAUUGGCGUGACAACUAUCCAGAAUUCAAACGCAAGGUUGCACGUUGUGUGCGUAAGAGUCAAGAGGAUAUCUAAUUACAAAUUUGCCAGUUGCUCUACACACAUGUUACCAACGUAUAAAUCAAUUAUUGAUGCCAGGGUAGCAAAAUGUAGAUCGACCAACAACAUUUAAUAUAAUGUGAUUUAUAAAUGUAAGUUUUUUUUUAAACAUCUAAUUAAAUAAGAUAUUCUAUCUUUUAAAUAUUUGUAUCUUAAAAAUAUCCUAAAAACCGUACUUAGUACAAUAAAAUAUUAUGUUAGGUUAUUAUCUUGAACAAAUAGAUAAUACUUUACAGGAAUUUUUAAAUUUUAUCAUGUGUUUAAAAAUGUAAUAAUAAAAAAGAAAUAGUGUACUUUGUUUAUAAAAGUGUGCUUUGGUCUUUUAUAAAUUUGUGUUUACUUUUUAUUCUUAAGGUGUAAUCUUCAAACAAUUUUAGCUUGAAAUUCAGUUUAAGUACAAUUUAAUGUAGUCGCAUUUACCAAUGGUUUAAGCAUUAAUGAACCUAAUUAAAUGUUUGUAUUCAAAUACAAUUUAGGGUCAUACUUGACUAGUGUAAAUAAAAAUUUAAUUAUAAUGUUAUUUUAUAUGAAACAAAAAGUAUACAUAUGUCUAGUUAUAUUUUUUAAAAACAAGAAAUACCUAAAUGUACAGUCACAUACCUACUGAAAUUUAUUAACAUAAUGAUCAUGUCUUAUUAUAACACUUAUUAUACUAUUAUCCAAAGUUACAUCGCCAUUUUAUAAAUUUUUAUUAUGUACAGGGGCAGCUCGUCAGGAGAGACUGAGACUGGGUCUCCCCUUAAUAAGAAACCACUUGUAAAUAAUAAAUAUUUCAAAAUAAAGAUGUAUAGAAGUAUUUUA